rnacentral:rRNA from 1 species
UACGUAGGUGGCGAGCGUUGUCCGGAUUUACUGGGCGUAAAGGGAGCGUAGGCGGAUUCUUAAGUGGGAUGUGAAAUACCCGGGCUCAACCUGGGGGCUGCAUUCCAAACUGGGAAUCUAGAGUGCAGGAGGGGAGAGUGGAAUUCCUAGUGUAGCGGUGAAAUGCGUAGAGAUUAGGAAGAACACCAGUGGCGAAGGCGACUCUCUGGACUGUAACUGACGCUGAGGCUCGAAAGCGUGGGGAGCAAAC